rnacentral:rRNA from 1 species
GGUUAAGCGACUAAGCGUACACGGUGGAUGCCCUGGCAGUCAGAGGCGAUGAAGGACGUGCUAAUCUGCGAUAAGCGCCGGUAAGGUGAUAUGAACCGUUAUAACCGGCGAUUUCCGAAUGGGGAAACCCAGUGUGAUUCGUCACACUAUCAUUAACUGAAUCCAUAGGUUAAUGAGGCGAACCGGGGGAACUGAAACAUCUAAGUACCCCGAGGAAAAGAAAUCAACCGAGAUUCCCCCAGUAGCGGCGAGCGAACGGGGAGGAGCCAGAGCCUGAAUCAGCAUGUGUGUUAGUGGAAGCGUCUGGAAAGGCGCGCGAUACAGGGUGACAGCCCCGUACACAAAAGCGCAUGUGCUGUGAGCUCGAUGAGUAGGGCGGGACACGUGGUAUCCUGUCUGAAUAUGGGGGGACCAUCCUCCAAGGCUAAAUACUCCUGACUGACCGAUAGUGAACCAGUACCGUGAGGGAAAGGCGAAAGAACCCCGGCGAGGGGAGUGAAAAAGAACCUGAAACCGUGUACGUACAAGCAGUGGGAGCACAGGUUUACCUGUGUGACUGCGUACCUUUUGUAUAAUGGGUCAGCGACUUAUAUUCUGUAGCAAGGUUAACCGAAUAGGGGAGCCGGAGGGAAACCGAGUCUUAAUUGGGCGUUAAGUUGCAGGGUAUAGACCCGAAACCCGGUGAUCUAGCCAUGGGCAGGUUGAAGGUUGGGUAACACUAACUGGAGGACCGAACCGACUAAUGUUGAAAAAUUAGCGGAUGACCUGUGGCUGGGGGUGAAAGGCCAAUCAAACCGGGAGAUAGCUGGUUCUCCCCGAAAGCUAUUUAGGUAGCGCCUCGUGAACUCAUCUCCGGGGUAGAGCACUGUUUCGGCUAGGGGGCCAUCCCGGCUUACCAACCCGAUGCAAACUGCGAAUACCGGAGAAUGUUAUCACGGGAGACACACGGCGGGUGCUAACGUCCGUCGUGAAGAGGGAAACAACCCAGACCGCCAGCUAAGGUCCCAAAGUCAUGGUUAAGUGGGAAACGAUGUGGGAAGGCCCAGACAGCCAGGAUGUUGGCUUAGAAGCAGCCAUCAUUUAAAGAAAGCGUAAUAGCUCACUGGUCGAGUCGGCCUGCGCGGAAGAUGUAACGGGGCUAAACCAUGCACCGAAGCUGCGGCAGCGACACUGUGUGUUGUUGGGUAGGGGAGCGUUCUGUAAGCCUGUGAAGGUGGCCUGUGAGGGUUGCUGGAGGUAUCAGAAGUGCGAAUGCUGACAUAAGUAACGAUAAAGCGGGUGAAAAGCCCGCUCGCCGGAAGACCAAGGGUUCCUGUCCAACGUUAAUCGGGGCAGGGUGAGUCGACCCCUAAGGCGAGGCCGAAAGGCGUAGUCGAUGGGAAACGGGUUAAUAUUCCCGUACUUGGUGUUACUGCGAAGGGGGGACGGAGAAGGCUAUGUUGGCCGGGCGACGGUUGUCCCGGUUUAAGCGUGUAGGUGUGUGUUCCAGGUAAAUCCGGUUCACUUUAACACUGAGGCGUGACGACGAGGCACUACGGUGCUGAAGCAACAAAUGCCCUGCUUCCAGGAAAAGCCUCUAAGCAUCAGGUAACAUCAAAUCGUACCCCAAACCGACACAGGUGGUCAGGUAGAGAAUACCAAGGCGCUUGAGAGAACUCGGGUGAAGGAACUAGGCAAAAUGGUGCCGUAACUUCGGGAGAAGGCACGCUGACACGUAGGUGAAGUGAUUUACUCAUGGAGCUGAAGUCAGUCGAAGAUACCAGCUGGCUGCAACUGUUUAUUAAAAACACAGCACUGUGCAAACACGAAAGUGGACGUAUACGGUGUGACGCCUGCCCGGUGCCGGAAGGUUAAUUGAUGGGGUCAGCGCAAGCGAAGCUCCUGAUCGAAGCCCCGGUAAACGGCGGCCGUAACUAUAACGGUCCUAAGGUAGCGAAAUUCCUUGUCGGGUAAGUUCCGACCUGCACGAAUGGCGUAAUGAUGGCCAGGCUGUCUCCACCCGAGACUCAGUGAAAUUGAACUCGCUGUGAAGAUGCAGUGUACCCGCGGCAAGACGGAAAGACCCCGUGAACCUUUACUAUAGCUUGACACUGAACAUUGAGCCUUGAUGUGUAGGAUAGGUGGGAGGCUUUGAAGCGUGGACGCCAGUCUGCGUGGAGCCGACCUUGAAAUACCACCCUUUAAUGUUUGAUGUUCUAACGUGGACCCGUUACCCGGGUUGCGGACAGUGUCUGGUGGGUAGUUUGACUGGGGCGGUCUCCUCCUAAAGAGUAACGGAGGAGCACGAAGGUUGGCUAAUCCUGGUCGGACAUCAGGAGGUUAGUGCAAUGGCAUAAGCCAGCUUGACUGCGAGCGUGACGGCGCGAGCAGGUGCGAAAGCAGGUCAUAGUGAUCCGGUGGUUCUGAAUGGAAGGGCCAUCGCUCAACGGAUAAAAGGUACUCCGGGGAUAACAGGCUGAUACCGCCCAAGAGUUCAUAUCGACGGCGGUGUUUGGCACCUCGAUGUCGGCUCAUCACAUCCUGGGGCUGAAGUAGGUCCCAAGGGUAUGGCUGUUCGCCAUUUAAAGUGGUACGCGAGCUGGGUUUAGAACGUCGUGAGACAGUUCGGUCCCUAUCUGCCGUGGGCGCUGGAGAACUGAGGGGGGCUGCUCCUAGUACGAGAGGACCGGAGUGGACGCAUCACUGGUGUUCGGGUUGUCAUGCCAAUGGCACUGCCCGGUAGCUAAAUGCGGAAGAGAUAAGUGCUGAAAGCAUCUAAGCACGAAACUUGCCCCGAGAUGAGUUCUCCCUGAGACUUAGAGUCUCCUGAAGGAACGUUGAAGACGACGACGUUGAUAGGCCGGGUGUGUAAGCGCAGCGAUGCGUUGAGCUAACCGGUACUAAUGAACCGUGAGGCUUAACCUU